AACACUUGUAGCACUGACUCACGAGUGCCCAUCCUGUACAAGACUGUUUCAUCACCAACAUAUUCUUCGAUUUGUUCAGCCAUUCCCCAAUUGAUGGACAUCCUCUUCAUUUCCAAUUCUUUACCAUGACAAAAAGAGCUUCUAUUAAUAUGUUUUGUACAGGUAGGCCCUUUCUCCUUUUUCAUUUUCUCUGGGGAAUACAGACCCAGUAGCAAUAUUACAGGAU
rnacentral:lncRNA from 1 species